rnacentral:rRNA from 1 species
UACGUAGGGUGCGAGCGUUGUCCGGAAUUAUUGGGCGUAAAGAGCUCGUAGGCGGCUUGUCACGUCGGGUGUGAAAGCCCGGGGCUUAACCCCGGGUCUGCAUUCGAUACGGGCUAGCUAGAGUGUGGUAGGGGAGAAUGGAAUUCCCGGUGUAGCGGUGAAAUGCGCAGAUAUCGGGAGGAACACCGGUGGCGAAGGCGGUUCUCUGGGCAUUACCUGACGCUGAGGAGCGAAAGUGUGGGGAGCGAACAGG